rnacentral:rRNA from 1 species
GGGGAACUGAAACAUCUAAGUACCCCGAGGAAAAGAAAUCAACCGAGAUUCCCCCAGUAGCGGCGAGCGAACGGGGAGCAGCCCAGAGUCUGAAUCAGCUUGUGUGUUAGUGGAACGGUCUGGAAAGUCCGACGGUACAGGGUGAUAGUCCCGUACACCAAAAUGCACAGGCUGUGAACUCGAAGAGUAGGGCGGGACACGUGGUAUCCUGUCUGAAUAUGGGGGGACCAUCCUCCAAGGCUAAAUACUCCUGACUGACCGAUAGUGAACCAGUACCGUGAGGGAAAGGCGAAAAGAACCCCGGCGAGGGGAGUGAAAAGAACCUGAAACCGUGUACGUACAAGCAGUGGGAGCACCUUCGGGUGUGACUGCGUACCUUU